GUCAUUGCAGGGACUGGGUGAGUGAAAGCAGCCUGGGGGUGGGAGAGAAAGGUGGUACAAGGGAGGGGAUGAUGAAUGGGGCAGCCAGGCUCUAGAAGGGUGAAACCUAAGGAAAGGCAGGAUGGAGAGGGGGCUUGGAAGGGACCUAGAGACAUUACUUGCAGACACCAAAAGAGAGAGGAUAUAGAGCCUUGAGAAGAACUCCAGCUUGGGAGGCAAGGAGAUUUGAGGAAGAGGGCAGUGGAGAGCAGCCCCCAACCCAACCUCCAGCCUAAUUCAGUCUCUCUUCCUCCAAAUUUAGGGUCUUAUAAAAAUAUCAGUGGAUUUUGUGUUGGACCGAGUAUCUGGAGACCAGGAGGCUGUGUGGCAGUGGGACCAUGUUGGUGAUGCAGGAACUUAAAAUUGUGUUCCCUGAUGCCCAUCCUGGCUCAACUCUAUCCAACUUGAUCCCAAAUGGUCAAAAUGCUGUCUCCCACACAGGAGGGGUGUCAGUCUGCAACUAGAGGACCUCAGCUUGGUUAUUCAAGAUGUCUUGUGGAUGGUGGCUCCACCAGGAGGAAUCUGAUCUUCCCAUCCUGGAAAAGCAAAGACAGCAAGAUGCAUAGCUGACUCCAGAAGAAUUUUGUUCCUGCAUCUAAGAUAGGCAAGAUGGCCAGUUAUCACCCUCCUUGUGCUGUUGGUCAGGAUUCUACCAGGUGGCAGAAGCCACCUGUUCUAAGAGAGUCUUCUCUUGGGACAGGUGUGUACAUUAUCAAUGAAAAACUUAUUUUUAGCACCCUGAAUCCAUCAGAAACCACCAAAGUGGCCUUCAUUACCCAUUCUAGCUUAACAUGACUGAAGGGCAGGGAUGGUAGGAAAACCUCUUGCGAACUGACACAUCUUCCUCCAAAAUUGGAUCUUUACCUGAUUCAACUCUCAUCUCUGGUUGUCAAAUAAAUAUUUAGGUACCUAAAACCUUGCAUAGUUUUAGCUCUGAGGACCCAGCAAUAAUCAAGACACCCCAUGCCAGCCCUAUGGAUCUCAUAAUUUGUGAGGAGGUUAUCACAAAAUAACCACAGAUUUUGAAAUGAUCGAAAGUGCAAUGACCCUCAUAAUCUCUCCUGACAUCUUGGCUCCAGCCCCAGUCUCAGUUUCUGUGGCUAUUUGAAAAAGUUUUGUUUCAAGCCCUUCACAUCUGAGUCCCUCUGUGUCACCUGCAUCGUAUCCAGGAGGUUGGUCAGUGUAGGGGACACCAACAACUCUGGGACUGUCUCCAUGACAACACAUCGGCACAUCCUGCCCUCAGAGCCCUGGAGGCCCUACCAUGUAUUCUCGUACCACUUAUAAUAAUCAUUCUUGAUAUUCUGUAACUGAUGAUUCAGCAUCUUGAAAUCAUGAGAAAAUUAAUGACCAAUGUUGUUUACA